rnacentral:lncRNA from 1 species
CAACGGACCACCGACCAAUGGGCCAACCCAAUAGAUCCAAUGAUUGGUCCACACCCCGGUAGCCAACGCAGGCCCGAAAGACCGAGCAGGGUUCAUGGACGCCCCAGAGAAGUUGCCGCCCGCAAUGGUGUUGGCACCGACAAUAAGGCCGGUGAGCAUCGGUCCGUAGCCGGGCACCGUGGUCCGCGGGUCGAGGAUGGUGGCGUACACGACGAAGAGGAGGGAGAAGGUGAGGAUGAUCUCCAUGACCAGGCCUUGCAUGGGGCCUAUGCCUGCGCCCAGGGUGUGCACCGGAACCGGUGUAGGCUGCAUCAAUAAUUGCACAUGUGGAGAAUGUUUAGAUUUUGGAACGAUUCAUUGUCACGGCAAGCAAUAUUCAAUAAUUAAAACAAAUAGUACAUCUAUGUGGUACCAUACGUGUCCUUAUUUCCCUUGCAGGCGUACUAUACGUGUCUUAUUCGUAAUGUUUUGAAAUCAAUAUGAUUUAAUUGUUAUAAAUGUAUGUACAUGUAUAUAAUUAUUUGUGUUCGUGCUGUGCUCAAAGAAAAGUACUUCCGUCUUAAAAUAAGUGACUCAAAAAUGACUCCGUUUUGUACUAACUUUAGUACAAAAUAAAGUCAUUUUUAAGUCACUUAUUUUGAAAGUAUGAUUUAACUAUCUGAGCAGCAGUGAUUUGGCGUAUCCACUUUUUAAAGGACAAGUCAAUUACCAGGGCAGGCAGAAACAUAGCAGGGGUAGGGUCGUACCUGGCCGCCGGUGAGGCACCGGAGGAGGAUGCAGGCGAGGGAGGAGGCCAGCAGCUGGGCCACCACGUACAGCACCGCCCGGAACGCCGUGAUGUGCCCGCGCGCCAGCAGCGCCACCGUCACCGCCGGGUUGAGGUGCCCGCCGGAGACAUGGAACCCCGCCGUCACCAACACCCCCGCCGCCAGCGCCUGCGCAAGCGCAACCCCGGCCAACGUCGCCAUCGGCAUAGCCGCGCCCGGCAGCUCCGGCACCCCUGCAAAUUUACCGACCAACUAUGAGUACCACCGAUCCCUCACCUCACGGCGUGUCACAAGGUCUAUAACCCAAAUUGUAGGACGAAAACACGUGUCGUACGUAACAACUAACAACUAACAAAUCGCCAGCAGACAGAUGAAGAGAGCACGAGUGCAUGCAUACCGGCGGCCAUGGCGGCGGCGACUCCGGUGAAGACGAAGAGGAAGGUGAGGACCAGCUCCCCCAGCACGGUGCGGACGCAGCCGGUGUCGACGACGGCGACUUCACGCUCGUCGAACGAAUCCGCGUGCUUGGUGGCGGCCAUGGCGGGACUGAACUCCACCACACUCGUCGCUCUUGUUCUUGGGAUGGAAGGAAGGAAGGAAGAGGG